UCCUGUGUUUAACAACGCAGACGUAGUCAAUGAUGUCGAUCCUAAUGAAUUCGUCUUCAAUAACCUCAGUGACAAAGAUUUGGGAGCGAUAUUUGAUGACGAAGAAGGCGAAUUAGAAGUUGGUCACAUGGACGUAUUUGGAAACAUGAUGAUGGAAGCCACCAAUCAAUUGUAUACAUAUCAAUCGCCUCUAUUAUAUCGCAAGUUGUCAACAAUACGACCGAUAGAUCCGAACUGUGAACACAUUCAAAUUUUGUAUCGACCAGGUCAUUGGGUCAUUACGAUACACGACAACUAUAUAUUUAUGAUACAUACUGGGUCAACGGCCAGCGCCCAAGUGUUGAACCUUUCUUACCUUAUCUGAGACGUUUGCUUCCAUUUUAUCAAUUCGAAGAGAAGCCAGUCAUCUUUCCACGCGUACAACAACAGACAAAUAGCAUAGAUUGUGGAGUAUUUGCUAUUGCAAUUGCAGUUGCUAAAACGUUCACCGAUAAUUUACAUUCGGUGGCAUCGACGUUUCAAUAUGGUGAGGAACGUCCCCUAUUGGUGGCCUCAGUGGGAGCCUGAGCCAUGUAUCCCUUAUGCUUCAAUUCCCGAGCCACAGAACGAUGGGCGGAGCUUGGCUGCGAAUUGGGUGGAGUUCUUCUUACCGGAAGCAGGAUUUCUUAGGCGAAAAUUGAAAACAAUUUCAUCUUUUUCAAAUAUACCUAGACACUUCCAAUUGAACUUUCCGAUUUAGGGUUUACGAACCGAUUAUGAUUGAUGUAUUGAAGGAAACUAUUUAUGUAAUAAAGAUCAAAGUAGUGAAAUAUAUAUAAA